UGCAAGUCGAACGAGUUCUGAUUAUUGAAAGGUGCUUGCAUCUUGAUUUAAUUUUGAACGAGUGGCGGACGGGUGAGUAACACGUGGGUAACCUGCCCUUAAGUGGGGGAUAACAUUUGGAAACAGAUGCUAAUACCGCAUAAAUCCAAGAACCGCAUGGUUCUUGGCUGAAAGAUGGCGUAAGCUAUCGCUUUUGGAUGGACCCGCGGCGUAUUAGCUAGUUGGUGAGGUAACGGCUCACCAAGGCAAUGAUACGUAGCCGAACUGAGAGGUUGAUCGGCCACAUUGGGACUGAGACACGGCCCAAACUCCUACGGGAGGCAGCAGUAGGGAAUCUUCCACAAUGGACGCAAGUCUGAUGGAGCAACGCCGCGUGAGUGAAGAAGGCUUUCGGGUCGUAAAACUCUGUUGUUGGAGAAGAAUGGUCGGCAGAGUAACUGUUGUCGGCGUGACGGUAUCCAACCAGAAAGCCACGGCUAACUACGUGCCAGCAGCCGCGGUAAUACGUAGGUGGCAAGCGUUAUCCGGAUUUAUUGGGCGUAAAGCGAGCGCAGGCGGUUUUUUAAGUCUGAUGUGAAAGCCCUCGGCUUAACCGAGGAAGUGCAUCGGAAACUGGGAAACUUGAGUGCAGAAGAGGACAGUGGAACUCCAUGUGUAGCGGUGAAAUGCGUAGAUAUAUGGAAGAACACCAGUGGCGAAGGCGGCUGUCUGGUCUGUAACUGACGCUGAGGCUCGAAAGCAUGGGUAGCGAACAGGAUUAGAUACCCUGGUAGUCCAUGCCGUAAACGAUGAAUGCUAGGUGUUGGAGGGUUUCCGCCCUUCAGUGCCGCAGCUAACGCAUUAAGCAUUCCGCCUGGGGAGUACGACCGCAAGGUUGAAACUCAAAGGAAUUGACGGGGGCCCGCACAAGCGGUGGAGCAUGUGGUUUAAUUCGAAGCAACGCGAAGAACCUUACCAGGUCUUGACAUCUUUUGAUCACCUGAGAGAUCAGGUUUCCCCUUCGGGGGCAAAAUGACAGGUGGUGCAUGGUUGUCGUCAGCUCGUGUCGUGAGAUGUUGGGUUAAGUCCCGCAACGAGCGCAACCCUUAUGACUAGUUGCCAGCAUUUAGUUGGGCACUCUAGUAAGACUGCCGGUGACAAACCGGAGGAAGGUGGGGAUGACGUCAAAUCAUCAUGCCCCUUAUGACCUGGGCUACACACGUGCUACAAUGGAUGGUACAACGAGUUGCGAGACCGCGAGGUCAAGCUAAUCUCUUAAAGCCAUUCUCAGUUCGGACUGUAGGCUGCAACUCGCCUACACGAAGUCGGAAUCGCUAGUAAUCGCGGAUCAGCACGCCGCGGUGAAUACGUUCCCGGGCCUUGUACACACCGCCCGUCACACCAUGAGAGUUUGUAACACCCGAAGCCGGUGGCGUAACCCUUUUAGGGAGCGAGCCGUCUAAG
rnacentral:rRNA from 2 species